AAUGAAUAUUUAAGAGGUUGUGUUAAAGGAAUCCCGUGAGAUUCGGGAACUGUGCCGCAACCGUGGUUCGACUACGCUCACCACAAGUUCUUCUCCAUAGGGAAGCUUGCUCUGAGCGAACGAAGUGAGUCGAAGAGUCGGAAAACUAACAACCUCUUUUCGAAAGUUA
rnacentral:ncRNA from 24 species